AGCAGCCGCGGUAAUACGUAGGUGGCAAGCGUUGUCCGGAUUUAUUGGGCGUAAAGCGAGCGCAGGCGGUUUUCUAAGUCUGAUGUGAAAGCCUUCGGCUCAACCGAAGAAGUGCAUCGGAAACUGGGAAACUUGAGUGCAGAAGAGGACAGUGGAACUCCAUGUGUAGCGGUGAAAUGCGUAGAUAUAUGGAAGAACACCAGUGGCGAAGGCGGCUGUCUGGUCUGUAACUGACGCUGAGGCUCGAAAGUAUGGGUAGCAAACAGGAUUAGAUACCCUGGUAGUCCAUACCGUAAACGAUGAAUGCUAAGUGUUGGAGGGUUUCCGCCCUUCAGUGCUGCAGCUAACGCAUUAAGCAUUCCGCCUGGGGAGUACGGCCGCAAGGCUGAAACUCAAAGGAAUUGACGGGGGCCCGCACAAGCGGUGGAGCAUGUGGUUUAAUUCGAAGCUACGCGAAGAACCUUACCAGGUCUUGACAUACUAUGCAAAUCUAAGAGAUUAGACGUUCCCUUCGGGGACAUGGAUACAGGUGGUGCAUGGUUGUCGUCAGCUCGUGUCGUGAGAUGUUGGGUUAAGUCCCGCAACGAGCGCAACCCUUAUUAUCAGUUGCCAGCAUUAAGUUGGGCACUCUGGUGAGACUGCCGGUGACAAACCGGAGGAAGGUGGGGAUGACGUCAAAUCAUCAUGCCCCUUAUGACCUGGGCUACACACGUGCUACAAUGGAUGGUACAACGAGUUGCGAACUCGCGAGAGUAAGCUAAUCUCUUAAAGCCAUUCUCAGUUCGGAUUGUAGGCUGCAACUCGCCUACAUGAAGUCGGAAUCGCUAGUAAUCGCGGAUCAGCAUGCCGCGGUGAAUACGUUCCCGGGCCUUGUACACACCGCCCGUCACACCAUGAGAGUUUGUAACACCCAAAGUCGGUGGGGUAACCUUUUAGUAACCAGCCGCCGAAAGGUGGACAGACUUAGA
rnacentral:rRNA from 1 species